rnacentral:tRNA from 2 species
GGGGCCGUCGUCUAGCCUGGCUAGGAUGCCAGCCUGGGGAGCGUAUCCCCACCCCCGCGCUGGGGGGCGCCCGGAUCGCUGGUGGUCCCGGGUUCAAAUCCCGGCGGCCCCA